rnacentral:rRNA from 1 species
UACGUAGGGUGCGAGCGUUGUCCGGAAUUAUUGGGCGUAAAGAGCUCGUAGGCGGUUUGUCGCGUCGGCCGUGAAAACUUGGGGCUUAACCCCAAGCCUGCGGUCGAUACGGGCAGACUUGAGUUCGGCAGGGGAGACUGGAAUUCCUGGUGUAGCGGUGAAAUGCGCAGAUAUCAGGAGGAACACCGGUGGCGAAGGCGGGUCUCUGGGCCGAAACUGACGCUGAGGAGCGAAAGCGUGGGUAGCAAACAGG